GCGAGCGUUGCCGGAAUUACUGGGUUUAAAGGGGGUGUAGGCGGUCUGGAUAGUCGGGUGUGUAAUGCAAUCGCUCAACGAUUGAGCUGCAUCUGAUACUUCCAGGCUAGAGGGCGGUAGAGGAGAGCGGAACUCCCGGUGUAGCGGUGAAAUGCGUAGAUAUCGGGAGGAACGCCGGUGGCGAAGGCGGCUCUCUGGGCCGUUCCUGACGCUGAGGCCCGAAAGCUGGGGGAGCGAAAGGGAUUAGAUACCCCUGUAGUCCCAGCCGUAAACGAUGGGCACUAGGUGUACCUUUUAACGGAGGUAUACCGUCGGGAAACCAAUAAGUGCCCCACCUGGGGAGUACGCCCGCAAGGGUGAAACUCAAAGGAAUUGACGGGGGCCCGCACAAGCGGUGGAGCGCGUGGUUUAAUUCGACGCUAAGCGAAGAACCUUACCUGGGCUUGACAUGCUGGUAGUACCUUAGUGGAAACGCUGAGGGAUCUACCGUGAGGUAGAAGCCAGCACAGGUGCUGCACGGCUGUCGUCAGCUCGUGCCGUGAGGUGUUGGGUUAAGUCCCGCAACGAGCGCAACCCCUGUCC
rnacentral:rRNA from 1 species